rnacentral:rRNA from 1 species
CCCUAUGGGGCGCACCAGGCUUAUUACCCGCGGAGUAUUUCCAAAAAGAAGGUUGAGGGAAAACAUACGAAGCUGAGUAUAUCAAAAUAACAAGCUAAAGACUAUCCCCAAAAAGCGACAGAAAAAUAUCAGGCUAGUUGAACCGCCCACUGCCAUAGCUUAUCUCCACUCAUCGGUUCCAAAAGCGCCGGCGUAAAGGGCACAAGCCCCCAGUCUCCCCGGGCGAUUUCCGCGGAGAGCUGGUCGGGUGCCCAGCCCGCGUAGCCCAUAAAGGCCCGCAGCUGGGUUGUUCGCGGGGCUUCUUUCUGAAAUUCGGAGGCUUCUUCGGGGGUCAGGUGGCUGCGGACCGUCAGGCUCUGGCCUUCGUAACGCAGUCCAAUAAGCGUGAGUACUUCGCGUUCCACAGGCCCGCCGGCAUAGACUGCCGCGUCAAGCAUCUCUGGCGGGGGGGC